CUUCCAUCCUUAUGUAUCCUCAGUGGUAGAAGGUUUUUUCUAAUGUCUAGUCUGUAUCUUCUUUUUUAUGGAUGCAGCCCAUUCAUUCCUGUAUUCCCUUUAGGCAGCCCUGUCUCCAGUUUGGGAUUUUCUUGAGUUGAGAUUGUCUUCUUUCUAGACUGAACAACCUCCUGCCUCAUAGAUUCAAGGUGUGCCUUCAUUAGGUUUACUGCUGGAUCUUGGGAGGUCUUCAGCUCUUCUGCUUAUCUUCUUGGGUGUGAGCUACACAAUACUCCACUGUCCCCCUGUACUGGGAUAACAGAACACCUUGACUUUGGGCACAGGAGCAUGUGGAAACCUCCAAACCUGGAGUCUUUGGAAGAGGAACUUCUAUUUUAACAAAAGGGCAAGAAUUUAUCCACAAGUGAAGAGGCAAUGACACAGAAUCACCAUCACAGGCCUUGGGAGCUGACUGGCUCACACUCUAUGAAGUGCCUGCAGGGAAGGGGCAGAGCUGAGGGUUCAGCACCAUCUGUCCUUGCUCUUCAACUAAAUCAGAUACGGAGGUAAAUGAGCUCAAAGAAAAUUGAAGGAAAUAAGAAAAAGUAUCAGCUUUAGUAUUCUAAGACUUCAUGUUUGAUCUCUGUGAACGCAAAGGAAAGAAGAAUAAUUACAUUAAGGAAUAUUAAUGAUAAAAAGAGCCUGUGAAUUCUGGCUAUACAUCAAUUAUUUGGGAAAUUAGGAGAAAAACUUAUAACCAUUCACGGACAGUUUUCCAAAUGAAAUGCAAAUCUGAGUGGCUCUGAGCAGGAGUACAAUCAGUUUCAGAGGAUAUGGUGCAUGUUUUUCUUAUGAUUUCAGGGGACUUGACUCAAAGAUAUAGAAAGACCCUUCUGGUAAUCUUACAGAUGCAUGAUCUUUGCUUCCCAAAAGAAGACAACUGAAUGCUUUAAGCCCUUGGGAGUCCUGCUCUAGUUUGUGGAUAAGGCAAGUGAACUUGACUCACAGGAGUGUGCAAACUCAUCUCUCCUUUUAAUGUGCUUCUUGGUACAUUCUCUUCCAAAGCUUUAUUUUAUUUUACGCCUUCUCUGAUGGGCCAGUUGAAUAUCUAGGGGUUUAUAAUCCUUCCAAUGAUAGUGAAACAUCACAAACACUGGAUGGUGACAUUGUAGAAUGAAUCAGGAAUGCAAAACAAGCAGGAUCUAUUUAUAUACACAGAUAUCCCAGUAAUCAAGGAAAAGAUUUGCAGAGUAAAAUGUGUUAUAAAGUACCCUAUAUACAAUUUACUUUUGGAAGAAGAGUUAUAACUAUUAUGUAAGCUCAUUCAGUAUUUCAGAUUUUAAGUGAAAAGAUUAACAAUUGUGGGGGAAAGAAAGCAGAAUAAUUUAUGGCAUUUGUUCUCACAGAAAAAUCCUUGAUUACUUUAAGAAUAUAGCCUGUGCAAAAAACAUUAUAAAGCAGGCAGA
rnacentral:lncRNA from 1 species